AUUGUUGCUUUUGCACUAUGACAGAAAAAAAAGUGUGUUGAACUACAUUCGACAAACUAGCCAAUCAACCAUGAAUGAUGUCAUGGUGUGUUCACAGGAUUGUGACGUGGUACUACAGGUAGUAAAUGAAUCCCCACAGUAAUGACCAAAAUCGUGAAUGUCAUGCAUGAAACAAUAUGUCCACCACACCGGGAUAAAAAAGACAAUGGAAAGAACUUCCUGUAUCAGCGCAUGUACGACUAUGGUGGAAGAGUUUGUAGAUGAUCCUGUAAAGGGACUGAAGAUGUGGAAAGCGAAUAGCGUGGCUAAUGUCCAAGAGUUAUGUUUUUGUUUUUUUGAAUGGUUGCUUUAGUUUUGGUUGGGAAUUAUGAAGUAUGUUAUUGGAAAACAGUUUGAUGUUACAUUUGUUUGCUUGGUAAUGUGGAUGUUAGUUUUUUGUGUGCCCGACGCAUUGCGUCCAGUUCUCAUGUUUGAAACACCGAAACUUGGUAUUUUUAUUUGUGUGA